GAGUUGAGCACAGAGGGACAGAGGCACGGAACCCCCAGAAAUGUCCCUCCUCAGAAACAGGCUCCAGGCCCUGCCUGCCCUGUGCCUCUGCGUGCUGGUCCUGGCCUGCAUUGGGGCAUGCCAGCCAGAGGCCCAGGAAGGAACCCUGAGCCCCCCACCAAAGCUAAAGAUGAGUCGCUGGAGCCUGGUGAGGGGCAGGAUGAAGGAGCUGCUGGAGACAGUGGUGAACAGGACCAGAGACGGGUGGCAAUGGUUCUGGAGCCCGAGCACCUUCCGGGGCUUCAUGCAGACCUACUAUGACGACCACCUGAGGGACCUGGGUCCGCUCACCAAGGCCUGGUUCCUCGAAUCCAAAGACAGCCUCUUGAAGAAGACCCACAGCCUGUGCCCCAGGCUUGUCUGUGGGGACAAGGACCAGGGUUAAAAUGUUCAUAAAAGCCAGGUGUGGUUGUGGCGGGUGCCUGUAGUCCCAGCUACUCAGGAGGCUGAGGUAGGAUGAUGGCUUGAGCCCAGGAGUUCGAGACCAGCCUGGGCAACACAGCGAGAUCUCUUGGGGGUAAAACAAAAAGAAAAAAAAAAGUUCAUACUUCUCCAAUAAAUAAAGUCUCACCUGUGUCCCUGUCUGGAUCCUUCCCCAGUGUGGCCAGAAAAAAACCCACCCCACUGCCUCCCAGGAAUCAAUGAGUAGAAGAGGUGACACCUGAUGGGGAAGGAAGAGUAGGGAGGUCGGGAAGGGUAUCAAGGAAUAACACCCUAUUGUGGGCUUGCGGAGAAUGGGGGACUUCAAGGCGUGUCAGUUUCAGGAGGGUGAGGGCAGGAGCGUGGGUGGAGUCAGCAGGUCCCCAUGAUGGCCCUCACUGAGAGCUUCGCCCUUGUCUCCUACAAGCUCUGACUCCAUUCCCAGUGGGCACCCAGCACCUCCAACCCCUCCACAGCCCCCAACCCAGCCUCUGUCGGAGGCGAAUUCUCAGAGUGAGGGUUCCCUGUCACUUGAGAGAAGGUUCCCUGUGACGUGACCUUGGGGGACGUCAUUGCCCUUUCUGUCCCCACCCACCCCCUCCGCAGUUCUGUUGGCCAGGACUUUGGCCUAGACAAAGGAUGGGGGUUGUGGCUGUGGAGCGGAAGUGGGUCUCAACCACUAUAAAUCCUCUCUGUGCCCGUCCGGAGCUGGUGAGGACAGCCUGCCAGAGUCUGGUCUCUGGACACUAUGGGCACACGACUCCUCCCAGCUCUGUUUCUUGUCCUCCUGGUAUUGGGAUUUGAGGUCCAGGGGACCCAACAGCCCCAGCAAGAUGAGAUGCCUAGCCCGACCUUCCUCACCCAGGUGAAGGAAUCUCUCUCCAGUUACUGGGAGUCAGCAAAGACAGCCGCCCAGAACCUGUACGAGAAGACAUACCUGCCCGCUGUAGAUGAGAAACUCAGGGACUUGUACAGCAAAAGCACAGCAGCCAUGAGCACUUACACAGGCAUUUUUACUGACCAAGUUCUUUCUGUGCUGAAGGGAGAGGAGUAACAGCCAGACCCCCCAUCAGUGGACAAGGGGAGAGUCCCCUACUCCCCUGAUCCCCCAGGUUCAGACUGAGCUCCCCCUUCCCAGUAGCUCUUGCAUCCUCCUCCCAACUCUAGCCUGAAUUCUUUUCAAUAAAAAAUACAAUUCAAGUUGCUUCUCAUGGAUGGCACUGCUUUUCUGAGGACUCAAGGGCCAAGAUGGAGGGGCUGACUCAGUCCAGCCAACAUUUAAUGAGCACCUACUUUAUGUAUGGAGCUCUAACCCAUGGGUCCAUGGGAAUAAAGCAGUGAAUAGUAACAAUAAAUAAUCGUAACAGCAA